UAGGGAAUCUUCGGCAAUGGACGAAAGUCUGACCGAGCAACGCCGCGUGAGUGAAGAAGGUUUUCGGAUCGUAAAACUCUGUUGUUAGAGAAGAACAAGGACGUUAGUAACUGAACGUCCCCUGACGGUAUCUAACCAGAAAGCCACGGCUAACUACGUGCCAGCAGCCGCGGUAAUACGUAGGUGGCAAGCGUUGUCCGGAGUUAUUGGGCGUAAAGCGGGCGCAGGCGGUUUCUUAAGUCUGAUGUGAAAGCCCCCGGCUCAACCGGGGAGGGUCAUUGGAAACUGGGAAACUGGAGUGCAGAAGAGGAGAGUGGAAUUCCAUGUGUAACGGGGAAAUGCGUAGAUAUAUGGAGGAACACCAGUGGCGAAGGCGGCUCUCUGGUCUGUAACAGACGCUGAGGCUCGAAAGCGUGGGGAGCAAACAGG
rnacentral:rRNA from 1 species